GCGACGGGUGAGUACACGUGGGCAAUCUGCCCUUCACUCUGGGACAAGCCCUGGAAACGGGGUCUAAUACCGGAUAACACUCCCUCCCUCCUGGGUGGGGGUUGAAAGCUCCGGCGGUGAAGGAUGAGCCCGCGGCCUAUCAGCUUGUUGGUGAGGUAAUGGCUCACCAAGGCGACGACGGGUAGCCGGCCUGAGAGGGCGACCGGCCACACUGGGACUGAGACACGGCCCAGACUCCUACGGGAGGCAGCAGUGGGGAAUAUUGCACAAUGGGCGAAAGCCUGAUGCAGCGACGCCGCGUGAGGGAUGACGGCCUUCGGGUUGUAAACCUCUUUCAGCAGGGAAGAAGCGAAAGUGACGGUACCUGCAGAAGAAGCGCCGGCUAACUACGUGCCAGCAGC
rnacentral:rRNA from 1 species